AACGAACGCUGGCGGCGUGCUUAACACAUGCAAGUCGAACGCGAACGAGUUCUUCGGAACUUUAGUAGAGUGGCGCACGGGUGAGUAACGCGUAAGUAAUCUACCCUCGCAUCUGGGAUAACCCACCGAAAGGUGUGCUAAUACCGGAUACGUCUAUGUUAAUAUCUUUUUUAUAGAGAAAGGUGGCCUCUGAUUCAAGCUACUGUGCGGGGAGGAGCUUGCGUACCAUUAGCUAGUUGGUAGGGUAACGGCCUACCAAGGCGACGAUGGUUAGCGGGUCUGAGAGGAUGAUCCGCCACACUGGAACUGAAACACGGACCAGACUCCUACGGGAGGCAGCAGUGAGGAAUAUUGCGCAAUGGGGGCAACCCUGACGCAGCGACGCCGCGUGGAUGAUGAAGGCCUUCGGGUUGUAAAAUCCUGUCAGAUGGGAAGAAGUGCUAUAUGGUUAAUAUCUGUAUAGUUUGACGGUACCAUCAAAGGAAGCACCGGCUAACUCCGUG
rnacentral:rRNA from 1 species